GGAGAAGCCAGGAACUGAUGCUUAAGCUGGGUGAGGUCCAAGUGACUCUUGCCAGCUGAUAACCAGGAAACCAGCCCAGGAGUCAGGAACCAAGAAUAGGAACAGGACAAAGAAUGGUACAUUACAGGGACAAGGGACAAAGGUUUGGCUGGAAGUAUUGAGGGCUGCUUUGUAGGAGGUUUGAUUUCCUGGUGCAGGAACAUAUCUCCAGCCUCAUCAGGAAGCAGAUGAGCCAGGAGUUCAGUGCAGUGAACUGGGAGGCUGAAAGUCACCUCCAUGCUGGCACCUGGCCCACAGCAUUGGGCUGGAAGUGUUUUCAGGUCCCGCGAUGUGAGCUGCGUCUCCUGUGUGUUAUGAGCUCAGGACUGGAUGUAGAAGAGUACUAGAUCAAUCAGUGAGGACGAGUGGGAAAUGCAAGGAAUAGUUCCAUGUCAGAAAUCAGCCAUCUGGAAGACAAAGCCACAUGAAGCUGAAGUCUAAUAUUAAGACUGAUGCUGACUCUUCCAGUCCUUUUUCAGAGCCGUAGAGCACAGGGGAGACCGCAGACGGAGGGAGACUUUUCAUAACACGUCUCCAGAUGCCUUCUUCUUUCAUGUGUUCAUUAAAUGUACUUACUCUUUGACUUGCACUUAAAGACUUAUGUGUUAAAUAAUUUUUGAUUUAUGUAUAUGUAUAAUCUAUGCCUUAAAUAUCUGUCCAUAAUUUCAUUCUCUGUCUUGAAUUCCAAGCUCCUAGAAAGUGCAGACUCUGCACUACAUGAGUAAUAUUGCUUUGUAAAAUGCUUGGCAUGUUGCCACCUGGUACUUUGAGAUGUUAACAAUGGUAAUAAAGUUCAAAUCCUGUACUCUGGCA
ensembl:lncRNA